UUACCGAGUUUACAACUCCCAAACCCCUGUGAACAUACCUAUUUGUUGCCUCGGCGGUGCCUGUUCCGACAGCCCGCCAGAGGACCCCAAACCCUGAUUACAUUUAAGAAGUCUUCUGAGUAAACCGAUUAAAUAAAUCAAAACUUUCAACAACGGAUCUCUUGGUUCUGGCAUCGAUGAAGAACGCAGCGAAAUGCGAUAAGUAAUGUGAAUUGCAGAAUUCAGUGAAUCAUCGAAUCUUUGAACGCACAUUGCGCCCGCUAGUAUUCUGGCGGGCAUGCCUGUCCGAGCGUCAUUUCAACCCUCAAGCCCCCGGGCUUGGUGUUGGGGAUCGGCGAGCCUCCGCGCCCGCCGUCCCCUAAAUCUAGUGGCGGUCUCGCUGUAGCUUCCUCUGCGUAGUAGCACACCUCGCACUGGGAAACAGCGCGGCCACGCCGUUAAACCCCCAACUUCUGAACGUUUGACCUCGGAUCAGGUAGGAAUACCCGCUGAACUUAAGCAUAUCAAA
rnacentral:rRNA from 1 species